rnacentral:tRNA from 1 species
AUUUAUAUAGUUUAAAUAAAACAUUACAUUUUCACUGUAAAAAUAAGGUUACUUUGUAAAUA